AAUAGGGAAGCCAGAGACUGGGCACAAGGAGCUGACCAGGGGUCAGGGGAGAGGUGGAGGGCAGGAUCUGAACCGAGGCUACAGACACGAGGGUCCUGAGGAGAUUGUCGUGGCAAUGUUCCUGGCCCUGACAGGCUGCCUUGGUGCCUUGGUUCCACUGGGGUUUAGACAUCCAGUCCCUGCCCUAUCUGACCCACACUGACUUCAUCUCUCCAUCUUCUGCCAGGUGUACUGGAGUCCCAGGAGCUGUCAGGACAGGGUGGAAGCAGUGUCUGCCAUGGAUGAAUACAAGCUUCCAUCUGCACUGUCUGAAGAGGACAGUGCCACCUGGGGCCCCAGCCUGGAGCCUGAGGAGGAGCCUGGGGCCCAGAAUGGAAUGGCAGCCAGUGAGGGUCUGAGCAGCCUCCUCAGCAGCCCAGCGCAUGAGAAAAAGGACACCCUGUUGGACCCUGAGGAGUCCACAGAGGCCCAAGGUGAGGCCCUCACCGGCCUCAGCCUCAGCUUUUCCCUCACCAAUGGCCUAACCCUGGGACCAGAGACAAACAUUCUGGAAAAUUCAACAGAGUCCAGUUCCUGGAGGGCUUGUGCACUGGCAGAGGGGGAUGAUGUCUCCAGCAGGCUCUGUCCAGACACUGAGGACCCUCAGCUGGGGCUGGAUGGCCCUGGGGAGCCAGAUGUGCGGGACGGCUUCAGUGCCACGUUUGAGAAGAUUCUGGAGUCAGAGCUGCUGCACGGCACCCAGUACAGCAGCCUGGACUCCUUGGACGUACUGAGCCUCACUGAUGAGAGUGACAGCUGUGUCAGCUUCGAGGCCCCACUCACUCCCCUCAUCCAGCAGCGGGCCCGGGAUAGCCCCGAGCCAGGGGCUGGGCUGGGCACUGGAGACCUGGGGCCUGAGGGAGACCUGGGGGCAGCUGGAGGUGAGCAGGAGCUGGGCAGCCCCCUGCGAUGCUCCAUCUCUAGCAGCCGCUCAGAGAAUGUCCUGAGCCGCUUGUCUCUUAUGACCAUGCCCAAUGGAUUUCAUGAGGAUGGGCCCCAGGGCUCAGGGGGGGACGAGGACGAUGAUGACGAGGACACGGACAAAUUGCUGAACUCAGCCAGGUAA
rnacentral:lncRNA from 1 species